UGAGGAAUAUUGGACAAUGGAGGCAACUCUGAUCCAGCCAUGCCGCGUGCAGGAAGACUGCCCUAUGGGUUGUAAACUGCUUUUAUACAGGAAGAAACCUUGGUACGUGUACCAAGCUGACGGUACUGUAAGAAUAAGGAUCGGCUAACUCC
rnacentral:rRNA from 1 species